CUAUGCAGAACUGCAGGUGGAGGUGACAGGACAAUGGAAUGAGAAAACACUGACCUGUAGAACCAGCUGCAGCUUGCCUGGUAACCCCACCUACAUCUGGUACAAGAAUGGACAAUAUCUAGCGCAGUGGACUUCCUCUAUAAACUCUAAAUAUGUCUACAGUGAGGAUGCAGGCAGCUACUCCUGUGCUGUAAAAGGCCAAGAGUAUCUCCGCUCUCCUGCAGUGUGUGUUCAUAAUUCAAACUGCUGGAGGGUGACUUACACCAAGAGGAGAAUCUGUGUCUUGAAGGGCUCCACAGUGGACAUAUCCUGCUCUUACACUCAUCCCACUAGUUAUAUAGAACAAGGUUCAUUCUGGUUUACACAGAAACACCCUGUAGAUGUCAGGUCAUAUCCAGGGUCUGCAGGUCGUGUGGAGUACAGUAGGAACACAGAGAACCACCACACCAUGACAAUAACACACCUGACAGAGAAGGACUCGGCUGAAUACAUAUUCAGAAUAAUAACAACAACCGAGGGGAGAUUUUCUGGUCUUCCUGGUGUGAUGUUGACUGUCACAGAUAUCCUGUUGGAGAUGGAUCCUACGUCUGUGUCAGAGGGGAGAGAGUCACACUGAGAUGUAGAACCAAAUGUACAGUCGGUCUCAA